rnacentral:snRNA from 1 species
CAAGUGAAAUGGUUGUUAUGGUGAGGCUUAUCCAUUGCACUUGGGAUGUGCUGACCCCUGCGAUGUCCCCAAAUGUGCGAAACUCGACUGCAUAAUUUGUGGUAGUGGGGGACUGUGUUCGCGCUCUCCCCUG